UUGAUGUGGGUUGAGUUUUAUGGUAAUUGAUAUUAAUAAGAUACUGCAGACUCUUUGCUCAGUAUUUUCUUAUCUCUGAUAAAAAAAAAUUCAUUUAAAGGACAAUAAUCAUUCUAGUAGUGUUUCUGUACAGUUUAGGGUGUGAUAGGAAAAGAAAAAGGAAGAGGGAUAGAGUGUGAGACAAACUAAGCGAGUGGGUUUGUGAAAAUAUUGG
rnacentral:lncRNA from 1 species